GGAGGAGAAAACAACACUGUCUCCAGAUAUGGCGUUCCCUCCAGAGUUAGGACAGACCAUGGAGGAGAAAACAACACUGUCUCCAGAUAUGGUGUCCCCUCCAGAGUUAGGACAGACCAUGGAGGAGAAAACAACACUGUCUGCUUGUUGAAUACUACUUCUACAAACGAGGCUACACUUGUGGCAGCAUCUAUUCCUGUGCCCCCUCCCAUCUUCUGCACCACUUCUUGUGGCCUCCCUCCACCUAUACCACUUCCUGUGGCCUGCUCUCCACCAUCCCCCGAGGCUUAUCGUCCACCUUCACCACACUCUUCUGUUGAUGUUGGUGAUGACAGUGAGUAAGUCAUCCCUGUAAAUAAUUCAAUGUCUUGUUAUUGCAGAUGAAUUGUAAAUAAUUCAAUGUCUUGUUAUUACAGAUGAAUUGUGGGAAGUAUCUGAGCUUUGUUAUUCUGAAUGUUUCUUUUAGUGUUGACCUCCAAACACUGCUGAAGUUAAUGAGAUGCCAACCAAAUAACGUGAUGAGGGACAAUGUUUAUGAUUGUGCAAUGAGAGGCUUUAAGAGAGUCCGCUUUAAUCCGGAGGCAAAAUGUUAUGAUUGUGCAAUGAGAGGCUUUAAGAGAGUCCGCUUUAAUCCGGAGGCAAAAAUAGACAAGGUUUUUAGGGAUGCUGAUGGAAAAGGGGCAGCUGAUGAGGGUGGUCCCUCAAGAGAAUUUCUCCGGCUGCUAAUGAGUGCCAUCCAUUCCUCUGCAAUAUCUGAGGGACCUGAUUGGCUAAAAUGUCUUUCUUGCAACUCUCAAGUACUCUAUGAUGGCGUAUACAAGCAGGUGGGCCGCAUGAUUGCUGUCUGUCUGGUACAUGGGGGUGUAGAGCUACAUUUUUCCAGAGAGGCUAUACAGGCAAGUGUGUGGCCUACAACCCCCUGUGCCAGAACUGAAAGAAAUUGCAGAAUAGGACUUCAGAGAGAAGUUGGAGAAGGUAAGUAACUUUAUACUGUGAUGGAUGUUAUGUUACUGUUAAUUUGCACUAAGUUUGAAAAAAACAAUUGGGUUGUAGUUCAUGAAUACUUUUCCACAUGGAUUUGGUUUCCUUUUGUUGGCAGUCAAUCUUUUUUAAGGGUAGUGAUAAUCAGUUUAUUGUUUUGCUAAUUUGUCCCAAAACACAGUUCAAUAAACAAUCUAAUAUCCAGUUAGCACAAACUGUUGACGAGGUACAGGAAGCUGUCAUGCUGGGUUCAGUGCAUUUGCAAACUGGAGAGUGAUGCCCUGGUGAACUCAGCCACAAAGUUCUACUUAGAAAGCAGGAUAUGGUAUGCUCUUGAGCAGUGAGUUGCCAUAUAUCUAAGGAAUCUCAAGUUUAAUUAAAUUCGUCAGGGCAAAUUCAUUGACCUUUUUUACUUGAUAGAUUCAAAGAGGGUCUGGAGUGUCUAGGUCUCCUGCUUUACAUGAACAGACACUCAAGCCUCUUCAAAGAGGUUUUCAUCUACGCUGAGAAACCUCUUUUGACCGAAGACAUAGCUUCUCUCUUCAAAGCAGAGCGCUCCCCACCUGGUACCAAUCAAAGAGCAAUAGAGAGAAGAGUCAUUUGUUUCUGGAGGUGGAAGGUUAGAUGCAAAACCAUGAUCAUUGAAGUAACACGGCCAACACCAGUAGAAUAUCACUUAAUCACUCUCACAAAUGUGACAGCAUUUUAUACCGUUAUUCUUCAAUGGGCCCCCUAAGAAUGUAAUAGAUAAAUUAAAUCCCAAACUACUUUCACUUAAGAGUAUUGUGUUCUCCAAUAAGUGUUACUUAUGGACUUUAACGUCCCCUCCUUCCCUUUUUUCAGGGGGGAACACAUAUCCUUUAACCACGGAGAAGGUUUAUAUUUUCAAGUUGGGGGCUUCAGCAUUCCUAGGCUGGGAUUGCCAGUGGAGCCACAGCUACAAUUCUCUCUGCUACCGCACGGAAAGCGGUACCGGAGCACCAAGUCUAGGUCUGUCACGACUUCCGCUGAAGUUGGCUCCCCUGCCUGUUCGGGUGGUGCUCGGCGGUCGUCGUCACCGUCCUACUAGCCGCUACCGAUCCCUUUUUCGUUUGUCUGUUGGUUUUGUCUUAUUAGUUUCACCUGUGUGUAUUUUGGUUUAAUUAGCUUCCCUAUAUGUAUUAGUUUGACCCGCCCUUGUUUUGUGCGGGAUUGUCUUUUGUUACGUGUGUACAUAUUAGGUCGUGGUGUAUUUUGUUUUCUAUACUGGACACCCUGUGGUUUUGGGUUGUCUGGUAUAGUGUCCUGCGCCCUGUAUUUUAUUGGGCUCAUCAGUUUGGUGUGCAAUAGUAAAACACUUUACUCCGUUA